AUCUGUUGCUAUGAAGCAGCUAGCUUUUGAUCUUCUACAGCUGCUUCUCCUGUCAGCAUUCCCGGAGUUAGAUUAUGUAUUCAGACAAUUGCAUGAAGAGAAGGAAAAGUUUGGGGAGCUUAAAUUAGAUUAGGCUAUAGGUAUUUUCACAGAUAGUUGUAGCUUUUUGGAUGAUCAUUUGUCAACAACUCUGUUUUUCUCCCAUUCUUUUCGUGUCUCCUGCAAAGAGCUUGUUGGAGUAUGGUCGCAGAAAUUCUGCAAUUUGGCAUCACGCUCAUUAGGUGAGAUGCGAGUGCAGAUUGUAACUUUUGCAUAUUUUUGAUAGGGAUGCUGAGGAAAUUGUAUAAAUGUUGAGACUUGUUUCAGAUUUAGCUUCAAUAGAUUAAUUACAGACAAAAGCAGUAUAUUGGAUGGUCUACGUAGUAAAUAUUUGAGUUGCAACUAGAUGACGUGACAUAUGGACUACAUAGAAGAAGAAGGUAGAAUAUUUCUUCCAACUUGUAGCCUGUUUUUGGAUCUAACAUUAGCUUUUGAUUUUGAAAAUUUGUACACUAGUAUUUGCAUAUCAAAUGAAAGUGCAAUGACUGGCAUCUCUCAUAGCUUGGCUGCCUUGAGUCAUUUUUCUUUGUCAACCGUGCAAGACUGCCGAACCUUUCUUUCACAUCCAAUGGAAUCAUGAGAUGGAGAAAACGCAAGACAAGUAUUUUUAACACUCCAACCCCUCACACCCAGUGAAUAACUUGACAGUAUUCUUGACUUUGAACACUGUUAAGGGAUUAAGAAGUUAAAACUCAAGGUACGACUUCAAAAUUACCUCAAGAACUAUAACCUUGCUUCAACCAUAACCUUGCUUGAACUGCUAUUUUUUCCCAAAAAUUUUUCACAUCUUUAAUACAAAUUUCCCUAUCACUUCAAACAUGACCGCACGCGUACACUCAAACUAAGGAUAGAAACCACAAAGAUUUGACGUGGUACCUGCUUCGUAAUCUAAGAGUACAUUGUACAUUAGGCAUCAAGCAAGGGACGGAUAAAAUCAGUCUAAUCAGGCAACCACUAAAUUUAACUGCAGUGGCGGAAUGAUCCUCACUUGUAAUGGUUUACUACCAUUAUUCAAAGGUCUAGAGGUACUCACUCGGGGCAACUCUAAUCCCAACUGACGGCCGAGACAAAUCCACAAUAGCUUAAUAGUGAAGUGAGCAGAACGACAAUCAGACGAAAGCACAAACAGAGCCUUUCCUUCAGCCCUUCGUUAACCUCAACCAUUUUUCAUGUAUGUUAUUCAACUGGCCCAGGCAUCCGAUAGCUUCAUUCGCGUUAAGCACAACAUAGAGCACCAAGACAGCAAUCGUCCUCACUCAAAACAUUGACAGCUACGGGUUUUAGGUUCGAGUUAGCACCCUCUUGACAGUCCAAAAUGUCAUUACAGGUGAAUCCAGACAUUAAUAACAUAUACACAAUCGACAAAUUAUGCAUGCACAUUCCCAUAGAAAAAUGGCACACAAGAAUUGGGACUCCAGCUAGCCAUAGCCACUCAUGACGCAUUCAUUCGUAUCAAAGAUCCAACCAAAAUAGUACAUUUAACGGAAAGUAACAAUGCUCAACAAUCAAAAGGGCACAAGUCCCCUGAAAUGCUGCUCUCAAAAAUUUUAAUAUGUUCCGAUACUAAUUUAAUGAAAACAAAACAGCAACUACAAUUAAAAAGAGUAUCCCUCUUCAAAACCAAAGCCUCUCAAGCAGAUGCAGCUGCUACCUUCUUCCUUGGAGCUGCUUGAGUACCUAUACGCACCAUCCCCCAGAUAUAUAAAACUUUUGAACGAAGAAAAACCCACGUAUAAUUUCAAAAAAUUAAGCAGAAAAAAAUCGAUCUUUUCAAUAUAAUUACCUUCUCUGAAGUUGGUCUUGAAUCGGCGCGGGGACGUGGCGGCAGAUACCUCAUGCGUCCGGUUCCGGUAGUCUUUCUCCUGAUUGCCUUCACACUCCAGUUAUCUAAGAUGCAUAAACAAAAUCCCCAUCAAUAAAUGAGAUCAGCAUAAGAAAAUGUUCAAAAAAAAAAAACGAAAAGAGAUGUGGAGCAAUAAUUGGGAAAAUUACAAGUUCUCUUGCGAGCAGCAGGGUAGGCACAAGCGGCACAGCGGCUCUUCUGAGAUGGAAGCUGCGGCGGCCACACCUCACGCAGAGCGUGUGGGUCUUGUUUCUUCUUUUACCAAAACUCCCUGUUCCCUUACCCUAUUAUCACAGAUUUAAAAGCCAUAAAAAGAAUAGAGGAGAUUAAAACAUCGGAUGAAAAAUAGCAGAGGUAAGCGGAAAUAGUCAACAAUGGCAAAAAGCUCUUUGCUUUUCUCAUUUUUCAGGAUAAUACGAGUGAAAUAAGUGAAGGGGUGACGAGGGAUUACCAUGGCUGGUGAUGAGAUGCCAAAAACCCUAGGAGGAUGCUCUGGUCCUGACGAUCAAGAAGAAGCAAAAUGAGCUGCGGCGUUGGAGGCUGUGUUUUAUAAACGGGGAGUUGUAGCGAAGAAAAUGAGUGAUGGGAGGGGGGUGGGGGGUUUUAGGGUUUGGGUUUGCUUCGUGUAAAGCUGUUGGGCUACGUCCAUUGGAGGCUAAUAUUCUCAAGUGGGCUAACAAAGCCCACCAGGAAAAACUGAUUAAUUAAUAUUGUAAAUCUCGCAGUAAAAUAUACGUAUCCAUUUGAACUAGUAAACGCAUUUUGUGUCACUUGUUGUAGUCUUCUCAAAGCUUAAAAAGAAAAAUAACCGAACAUAUGCCUUUAAGAUUUCCUUUGUGAAUUUUUCAAUUAAAAAAAAUUAUAGCUUGGUAACAUUCAGAAAUAAUUUCUUUUCAAAAAAAAGAAAGAAAAAAUAAGUUGCCUACAAAAUUUAGUCAAGAAGAAUAUUUAGUUUGAAUUUUGAGUUUCCUUCAAAACAUUUUUUUAAAGCAACAAAUAAAAGAAGCGCCUGCAAUUACAUCAAAUCGUUAUUAUUCUUCACUAGCUUUUAUUUUUCUUGGAUGACAAUCUCCAAUAGUUAUUCCCAAAAAAAAUUAAAUUCAAAUUAGUAAAUAGUACUAAUAAAGUGAGCCUGAAAGUUUUAGAAGAAUAAUAAGAGAGGAAGCCUGAAUUGAAAACGAGAUAAAUAGAGAAUAAAUAACUCUGGAAAAACCGCGGGGCGAAAAAAAAAAUGAAAAGAAAAAAUUGGUUGCGAUUGAGCGCGGGAAAUACAGCAGCUACUCUGAGCUAUACUACUUUAUACUGCGCGCGAGAUUCUUCUGGGUUCUUACUAUCAAUUCAGUAGAUUCAUAUCAUCGAUUCAGCCAAAAAAUAGUAAUAAUAAUUGCAGAUUCAGAUCUUCGUCCUUCCCCCGUAUUUCCCCCGAAAACCCACAAGGAUAUAGUAGUAGGGAAGAAAAGAAACAGAAGAAUGGAAGAAGACGGGGAAAUGCAGUUUCUAGCAUUCCCGCAUAAGCCUUACUCCAUUCAGAUCGAUUUCAUGAAGGCCCUUUACGAGUCCCUCCAGAAAGGAGGCAUUGCCAUGCUCGAAAGCCCACUGGUAAUCCAAAUUGUCCAUUCACCAAUAACCCUCUACUAUUUGUAUGUUUUUCUUUUAAUCUACUUAGCAGAAUAUAGUGGGCAAUUGCAUUGUUUUCCUUUUCUCUGCUUCAUUGUUAGAGUCUUUUUUAUAUUGGGGAACGAUUCCGUUGUUGAAUUGCUUUAAAUUGAUCUAAUGCAGGAACUGGCAAAACUUUAAGUAUAAUUUGCAGUGCUUUGCAGUGGCUUGUUGAUAAGAGGCAACAAAAUCUUGACCUUGUUAAAGAUGGGUCUGAUUUAAAUCAAAAUUUGAAACAUGAGGAUCAUCCAGGUUCGGAUGGUGAGCCCGAUUGGAUGAGAGAAUUUACUGUGAAUAAAGAAAGCGAGUCCCCUCUAGAUAGGAAGACAAAAAUCAAGAAAAAUGUGGGUUUUAGAUCGAAGAAAUGGAAUAAGAAGGGAAAAGAGGAAUGCAGUACUAUUAGAGAUAUAUUUAACCGUACUGGAGUUGGGGGAGAUGAAGAUGUUGAUGAGAGAGAGGUAAAAGCUUCGAAAUUGAAGAGUGGGAUCGAGGAGGUCGAGGAUCACGAGUUUUUGGUGGACGACUAUGAGAGCGAAGGCGAAGAUGGCGUAAAGUUGAAAAGGAGGGAUGGUGGUGGUUAUUCAGUUGAUUCAUCGAGCGAGGAGGAUGGACAGGAAGAUGGAUUUGACGAGGAGGAAGAAGACUCAAGACCGAAGAUUUACUUUUGCAGCCGAACUCAUUCACAGCUUUCUCAGUUCAUAAAGGAGUUGAGGAAGACUAAGUUUGCUAGUGAGUUGAAGGUUGUUAGUUUGGGGUCAAGGAAGAAUUUCUGCAUCAAUGAAGGUAUAACAGCUAACCUUAAAUGUCCUACCAAUGUUCUUUGAGUUUGAAAAUUUUCUGCUUCUUUGAGUAUUUCAGAAAACAUUUUUAACAAUUCAUUGAAUUUUGUAUGUGUUUCCCAGAGGUAUUAAGACUAGGUAAUACAACAAGCAUAAAUGAGAGAUGUUUGGAGCUUCAAAAGGCCAAGAGCAAAAGAGCAUCCAAAAUGAUGGUAUGUGCAUUAUCCUGACCUAUUCUCUUUAUUCUUUUUAUGUCUGGACCCAAAAGUAGUGAGUAUGGUUUGAGAUUGGCUCUCUCUCUCAUUUUACAAAUGAGAAAACAAAGGCCUCAGUUCAUUUAUUUCUUCAUCAUUGUUAGAUUAUGUGCCAUAGUAUGAGCUGAAUUAUGUGCAGUUACGAGGCAGGAGCAUAGAUUUCUGACCAAAAACUUCUAUUUACACAAAAAGCUAGAAAGAUUGUUGCCACAUUCGACUUAAUGCUACUAUGAUGUUUAGAAACUGAAGCAUUGAUCCUGAUUUCUAGAACUUAAGUGCUGGGAGAAGAGUCCGGAGGAUGAAGGCUUCCUCUGGAUGCCCAAUGCUUCGAAGUCGCAAAACAGAACGAGAAUUUAGGAGCGAGACAUCUCAUCAGGGUCCCCUGGAUAUUGAAGAUCUUGUUAAGGUUGGGCACAAAGUGGGCACUUGCCCUUAUUAUGGUUCAAGAAGUAUGGUACCGACUGCAGAUCUUGUGAUUCUUCCAUACCAAUCUCUUCUGUCAAAAACGUCUCGGGAAUCACUUAAUUUAAGUUUGAAGAACAAUAUUAUCAUCAUAGAUGAGGCUCAUAACCUGGCUGAUUCUCUCAUUAGCAUGUAUGAUGCGAAAAUUACUUCUUCACAGGUAAAUUUUAGCCUUGGACUCAAGUUCAUACAUUCUAUAACUGUGAUUUGCAUGAUUUCUGGGUAAUGUUUCAGGUUUAUGGUUGAUUAUCUCUCCUCUUAGCUGACUCUCUCACCUCCUUUACAAGACAUUGAUUUUCAUGUAAUGUUUGUUUGUUUGUGCAUGUGUGCAAGUUUGUAUCUCUUUUAUUUUUUUGUUUUGUUCGAACUCAACAAAUUAAGGUGAUUUUUGGGUAUCAGUUAGAGCGUAUACAUUCCCACUUGGAGAAGUAUCUUGAGCGAUUCCAAAAUCUCUUAGGACCAGGCAAUCGAAGAUAUAUUCAGACACUGAUGGUACUCACUCAUGCUUUUCUACAAUCCAUAGCUUAUCCGAAGGGUGCAAACUAUGUUGAUCCUUUAAGCAGUGGCAGUGAAGUUCAAAGUGACCUUGACUUUUCAAUUGGUAUAAAUGAGUUUCUAUUUUCCCUGAACAUCGACAACAUAAACUUGGUUAAACUUCUACACUACAUAGAAGAAAGCAACAUUAUCCACAAGGUAUCUGCCCUUUUUAACUCUUUAGACUAGUUAGGUAACCUGAAACUCUGGAUUUCAUGUAUCAUACUAUAUUUGAGAUGAUAUCUUUCAACCUUCAGGUCAGUGGAUUUGGAGAUAAACUAGCUAUGUUGCAGAAUGAUGUUGCACUUGAAGGAACUACAGCGGAAGCAAGCACUUUAUCUGGCUUUCGGGCAUUGGUUAGUCUGUUGUCAUCAUUAACAAAUAAUGAUGGUGAUGGGAGGAUAAUUAUUUCAAGGGCAAGAGUAAUAUCUUCAGUACAUGAGAGGGGAUAUUUGAAAUAUGUGAUGCUUACUGGGGAAAAGAUAUUUUCUGAGGUCUGCCUGAGAUUUCUGUUUUUAUUAUUCCUUGUGGUUUGGGCAUAAGAUUUUAGACACUUCAUCUAGUUCCUCUGCUUUUCUGUUAGGUUGCAAGUGAAGCACAUGCUAUCAUCCUGGCUGGAGGCACUUUACAACCUAUAGAGGAAAUUAAAGAGCGACUUUUCCCAUGGUUACAACCUGAUCAGUUGCACUUCUUUUCCUGUGGUCAUAUAAUUCCUCCUAAAAAUAUUUUACCUGUUGCGGUUUCACAAGGGCCAUGUGGUCGGUCCUUUGAUUUUAGCUACAGUGGAAGAAGCUCCUCAAGCAUGGCAAGUAAAAUCAUCCCUGUUAGAUGUUUUCAAAAGAAGUUUUGCAACUGAUUCUCUCAUAUUACUGCUAUUAAUCUGACUAGCGAACUUUUUCUCAAUUUCAAGUUAUUUCCUAGUGUACCAUUUGCUUUAUACUAAUAUCUUUGUUUAAGUUAAGACCAUCAAACUUUUGAGCAGAUGAUGCGUAUGGCAGUUUUCUAGUUCAAAUUUGCUCUUUUUGAUUCAAAUGUUCUUGGAAGAUAAUUACUCUGAAUUAGAAAAUGGUCUCAAUUCACAGAUUGAAGAGCUCGGGAUGUUGCUGUGUAAUUUGGUAGCUGUGGUUCCUGAAGGAAUUGUUGUCUUCUUCUCAUCAUUUGACUACGAGGGCAAGGUUUAUGAGGCAUGGAAAGAAUCUGGCAUCCUUGCAAGGAUCAUGAAGAAGAAGCGCUUAUUCAGAGAGCCCAGGAAGAAUACAGAUGUGGAACUUGUCCUGAAGGAGUACAAGGAAACAAUUGAUGAAUUGUCGAGUACAAAUGCCAAAUACAAUCCUGCACCGUGCAGUGGUGCUGUUCUCCUCGCCAUUGUGGGUGGUAAGAUAUCAGAAGGUAUCAACUUAAGUGAUGGGAUGGGCCGAUGCAUAGUCAUGGUUGGACUGCCCUAUCCUAGCCCGUCAGAUAUGGAGCUGAUGGAGAGGGUGAAGUAUAUUGAAGGACUUGAGAGUUCACUUGUCAGUAAAACCCAGGCACGGUUAGACAUCCUAAAAUGCUGCAAGCACAGGGGAAGACAGUAUUACGAAAAUAUUUGCAUGAAAGCGGUUAAUCAAUCUAUUGGUACGUCUCUCUUAUAAGCUAAUUAACUUGCAUGAAUAUGCUAUUGUUAAUUAACUUCAUUAUUGAUAUGCAAUUUUUUCUCCACUAAUCAGAUGUAAAUGCAACAUAUGGUUCUGAAGAAGAACUAACGGUUUUAUGUCUCGUGAAUUUCAAGCAAACCAACUUUGAGUUUAUGCUUUAAUUUAUCCUCUGUUUCUGAUGCUGUUUAAGUUUUGGUUCUUUAUCUUUUCUAUUCCUUGGCCUGUUGGUAUUUGAUUUUCUUUUCAUUUGUCUACGGUUCUGCUUCAUAUGUUGUGACCAUUUGAGUCGCGUGCUGCAGGUAGAGCAAUUCGUCACAUAAAUGAUUAUGCAGCUAUAUUGUUGGUUGAUGCACGGUAUGCAUCUGAUCCGUCAAGAAGGAGCUUUUCCCACGUUUGUGACAAGCUCCCUCAGUGGAUUAGGAGCCAUCUCAUUCCCUCACCUGGGAACUAUGGAGCAGUCCAUAGACUGUUGCACCAGUUCUUCAAGUUUCAUAGAAAGGAAACGAGUAAUCAGUAGUGUACAUUUGUAGAAAAGAUCGUGAAGGCAUCGUAAUGUCUGGUAACCAUGUAUCGGUUGUGGUUUUCUUUCCAUUUGUUGAGCGGUUGAUAACCACCAUAAAGAUAAUACUUGUCCACAGAAACAAUCAGCAGAAUGAAAAAUUGGCUUGCAUAUGGCAUCAAUAUCUUCUCCUCUUUUCUUAGGGCUUGAUUUUGUAUAUAGUAUUAUAGGAUGAUUGAAGAUCCAAAAUGUUGCACAGCCAGGACAGACUAAAAUCAUCUUUGAUUACGAUGAGCUUCUGAAGACCUGUCUGAUAUACAUGCUUGAGCAAAUCCGAGAAGUGCAGAUCCCACCAACAUGUAAGCAGGGAGGCAAAUCGAGCAGUGGAUUUUUUGGAUAAGGAAGAACUAAGCCAGAAAGGGACCUUGUAUUGUUACUUUAAACUCUUAGUCUGCUGGAACAGCCUUAUUAGAUUAUGUAAGAUGGGUUUCGGACCAUUUUGUUUUGGACACUUCAUGUGUUGAUAGCGAUUGAGAGAUGAUCUUAAUCUCUCUUCUGACCUACUUUUACUAAUGCCUGCAAAUAGAAGUGACAUCAAAGGCACCAACUUCCAAAUAAUUCUACCGAAUCCCUAUUUGUGAAAAGUGAAAACAGCUUCUCUGGCUGUUUUUUUCUCCACCAAGCAUAGUCAGGUUCCAAGGUUUCUUCAACUUGAGCCAGUUUGCAGUACCCUUGUGUACAAGGUAGGUCUAAGUAAGUGGUGGGACUUGGGAGGGCAAAACAAAAUGUCUAAGCGUUGUUGCUGUAAGGACAGUGACUUUACUGUUGUUGUAACGAGGCUUAUCUCUGUUCUCAACCAAAACUUCUUAAAAGAUAGGGGUCCCAAACAACCCUUCCAUAUUAAUGCACUUGAAUUUUUAAUCAUAUGCUUUAAUGAGCUCUACUGCACUAUGGUAAACAGAGAUUAAACGUAGGGAUUGGAUUAUAUAUACCAAAGCAGGAGAAAAAGGCUGAAAAAUAGGCCUUGCUCGUUGAUCAAGACGUCAGUGAGUUGGUCCCAUUACUCAAAAUUUAUGUACUCAACUAUUGAGUACUACUCAAUAAUACGUAUUAACUUGAUAGAGCUUUAUCAAGCCGCUACAACUUUAGCAUUGUCCUUAAUCAAUGCAAUAGCACUUUCAACAGCAGAAAGUCCAACAAUAAUCAUUGGGUUCCUAUUCUUUUAUUCUGUCAUCGAGAUUAACCGAUAUUGCGAGAAAUCGAGAACACAAGAAGACAGAAAAUAGGAGCUGUAUGUAUCUCCCACUGCCGAAAGAAAGAAAGAUAUAUAAACAAGCUAUCCGAAACAAGAAAAGAACCAGAAAAUGCUGCUGAGAAGAUCCCUCCGCAAAACUAGAUAUAUCUUCCAGAAAACCUUGAGGAAACUCAAGUCUUUUCUCUUUGGAAGGUAUCAAAAGCUGCCUAAAGCCCCUUUUAUCAAUCCCUUUUUCUCUGGCAGCAAUAGCUGUCGAAAGAUGCAGGAAUUAGAUGAUUUCUACAGAGAGUUCUCUGAUCAAUGGGCUAUUCUGGACACAAGUACACUACCACCAAGAGUACCAAUGGUGGAAGAUGUGGAAUGCAGUGAAAAUCAUACUAGAGCGACAGUGCAGAUUAUUGUGGAUAACACAGAUAUAAAGGCAAGAAAGGAAGAGAAGAUGGUCUUCAAGCGCCAUGAGAGGAAAAGGGAAGAAGCCUGUGGUCAUACAGAAAAUGCAGGUAGCCAAAGUUUAGCACAGAAGAUGAAGGAUCUAGACAUGUUUGAAUUGAAUGAUGUGGAUCAUCAGUUGGACGUAGAGGAGGUGCUUCACUAUUAUUCUCGUCUUACUUGCCCGGCUUACCUUGAUAUAGUUGAUAAAUUUUUCAUGGACAUGUAUUCUGAAUUCAUCCUUCCACAACCCUCUGUCAGCGGUAACAGUUCAAUGCGGAGACUUCAACCUGUGAAGCUCUAGAACUCAAGCCCAUUUAUUCACACGCUCUUAUAUAAGUUCUGAUUUUUUUGUCUGCUUAUUCCUCUGCCUGUUUGUCUAUGUGUGGUUAUCUGUAGAUGUAUACUCAUACUGGAGCUACAGCUACUUGCUCAACAAUAAUUUUUCACCCUUUGUGCUGCUGAUUGCCAUUGUCUUCCCCGAGACAAUUAAGUUUUCAUCUGAAAGGACGAGUUGCUGGAAUGCUUCAUUUUUCAUGUCCCUGUUAUCUGGAAUAUCUAUACUUUUUUCCAGCUGAAGAUGCAGAACUUACUGAUGUUUACAUCUGUCAUCAUUCUUAGGAGCAAGGAAUUAACAACUAAAUUUGCAUAUUACUACGAUGCUUUUUGUCAAAUGAAUAUUAUUUCCAAACAGCAAGUACAACUUCAAAGCCAUCACAACCAAGUAGGUGCAUUUACUUCAAAAAAAAUGCUUCACUAUAAACUUGUCUAUUAGCUUAUCAACAUAAGGAAAGGCAUCGAGUCAAGUUAAUGAACUCAGAAACAAGUCAAAGUAUGUUGGACACGAAUUGGAAGUGACUGAAUGUUCACUCUACCAUCAACAAAUGUCAAAACAUUUCAGAGUUCUGGGACAACAUUGGCUAUAUCAAUUACAGCAGAUCCAAUGGUUAAACCUGAAUGCAUCAACUUGAAACGGGCACCAUUUUAAAGGAGCAGCACUAUGCUCAAAUUUCUCAAUCAAUUUUCGACAAUCAGAUCGAACUUGGCCAAGUGGUGCUGUCAAAACUCGGUGAUUGGAGAGCUUCAUCAUUGCCAUAGCAAAGUCCCUCUGAAACAAAGAUGCAUCAGAGGCAUAAGCUUGAACCCAAGUCCCGGUAUCUCCACCUGCUGUCAGCUGUUGAUCAGCAUAAAGUAUUCCUCUACCCCGUAAGAGACUGCGGUAGUACAACGUGCCAAAACCUGAUCCAGAUCCUUCAUAGUCCAUUUUCAACCCUGGCUCCUGAAUUAAGGCAGAUGACAAGCCACUAAUUGAUGAGGAUGGUGAUGGUGUCGGAGCUGGUGAUGCUGAUCGAGUAGAUGAGACAUGAUUGCUUAUGCAUUGUGAUCUCAGAAGAUUGAGAAAUUCAGGAUCAAUAGAUGGGUCAGGCCUGUUAGUCCACCAAAAUUGUACAGCCGGUUGAGAAUAAACUUGCAAUGAAUCAUUCCUGUGCUGUGGGCACCUGUACAGCAAAAACAGGAAAAGUUACCACUUGUAGUCCAUGUCCAGAGGGAAGUUACUCGAAUGAGAAAGCCAACAAAUCACAAGAAGAACAAAGUUAAUUCUGAACAGUUUUAUUGAAAUCAGAUUGAUAUGCAGCAACGUGGCAAAGAAAAAGGAGAUAGAUGAGAUAUUCAAACUAACCACAGGCAAUAGUUUAUAGUUUCCUUAAUGGCCCAAAGGAUAGUAUAACUGUAUAAGGCUAAUUAUCAAAAAUUGUUUCAGUUUGGAAACGCCUCCAACUCCUCUAUCUUCACCUAAGAUGGAGAAUGUUGAGAUGAUGGAUGAUACACAGCAAAAGGAAGCUGAACGACGAGCCAAAUUUGUUUAUGAUCUAAUGAUUGGUAUGGUUUAAGUUUUCAGCCUAUCUGAUCCAGGUCAAAAUUCUCAUUUUGUGGAACUGCUAUGGUUGAUCUUUGAAAUACAAUGUAUUAUUAAACUUUCUCUUGCAGAUAAAGCACCAGCCGCUGUUGUGGGUCUUGUUGGUCAUAAGGAAUAUGAACAAUGUGCAAAGGAUCUAUAUUACUUCAUUCAGGUGUUCUUUAUUUUGCCAAAAAUAGUCUUUUUUUCUGUCUGUCUAAAUUGUUAUUACUCGUUUUCUUGUAGUUUUGUGAUGAUUAUUUUAUUGUCUGUUCCUUCUGAAAUUUGUGUUCUCCCUGGUUUCACUAAAUAAGUAGUUUAAUCAAAAACUUUAUCUCCAUGUUUGCACGUUCAUUGAAAAAUUUCUAUGUAAUUGCUUGUUAGACUAUUUUAUUUCCAUAGAUUAGACAAAUGCUUGCAUCUUAAAUUAUGAACUACUUAACUUACUCCAUUGUUUUUUUUUUUUUUUUCCGUUAAAGAGGUUGAGAACUUGACAUAUUAAUUUGCUUGUCUGUUACUCUGUCUUUGUCUGUCUGUCUGUCUCUUUCUCUCUCUCUUUAUAUGACACCCGUGUAUAUAAAAAAGUAGUUACAGACAUGGUUCAUUGGUUGCUGGAGUUGGUUCUAAUUUUCACUUUUCUCAAGUAAACAACGCCUAUUUGAUUUCUUAUUUUGCAUUUAUCUGCAACUAUUUAGUUAUAGUUCCUGGUCAUGGUAGAUGGAUUUGACCAUAAAUUCAUCGUAGUAAAAUGAGUGUGAAAGUAUUUAUUUUAUCUUCUUUUUGAAUGAGUGCAAAAGUUAUCCCCGGAAGGAAAUUUUUUUUCUUCACCUCAUCUUCUAGUAUGACUUAAAUGCAAGGCCUUCUGGUCUACAUUUUUUUUAUGGUCUUUAACAGUAUGUAACUUAUUUCACUUUGUAUUUUUGGUUAAACAGUCAUCUGUUGCUAUGAAGCAGCUAGCUUUUGAUCUUCUACAGCUGCUUCUCCUGUCAGCAUUCCCGGAGUUAGAUUAUGUAUUCAGACAAUUGCAUGAAGAGAAGGAAAAGUUUGGGGAGCUUAAAUUAGAUUAGGCUAUAGGUAUUUUCACAGAUAGUUGUAGCUUUUUGGAUGAUCAUUUGUCAACAACUCUGUUUUUCUCCCAUUCUUUUCGUGUCUCCUGCAAAGAGCUUGUUGGGAGUAUGGUCGCAGAAAUUCUGCAAUUUGGCAUCACGCUCAUUAGGUGAGAUGCGAGUGCAGAUUGUAACUUUUUGCAUAUUUUUGAUAGGGAUGCUGAGGAAAUUGUAUAAAUGUUGAGACUUGUUUCAGAUUUAGCUUCAAUAGAUUAAUUACAGACAAAAGCAGUAUAUUGGAUGGUCUACGUAGUAAAUAUUUGAGUUGCAACUAGAUGACGUGACAUAUGGACUACAUAGAAGAAGAAGGUAGAAUAUUUCUUCCAACUUGUAGCCUGUUUUUGGAUCUAACAUUAGCUUUUGAUUUUGAAAAUUUUGUACACUAGUAUUUGCAUAUCAAAUGAAAGUGCAAUGACUGGCAUCUCUCCAUAGCUUGGCUGCCUUGAGUCAUUUUUCUUUGUCAACCGUGCAAGACUGCCGAACCUUUCUUUCACAUCCAAUGGAAUCAUGAGAUGGAGAAAACGCAAGACAAGUAUUUUUAACACUCCAACCCCUCACACCCAGUGAAUAACUUGACAGUAUUCUUGACUUUGAAC
rnacentral:lncRNA from 1 species